GGAACACUUAAUUAUUUUUAGUCUUUUACAUUGAAUCUCAAAACACCAAGCUCAUAGAUAUUUCCUAGUUUUGCACAUUUUAUUUAUUUAUUAAAUAUCCAAGAUACUGCUGUAGUCAUAUGAAAAUUACCAAUCUAUAAAAAUUCUGUAUUUGAAGUAGCUGUAGGGACCAUCAGUAAUAUCAGUUGUAUAUUUUUUCUUUGUAGUGACCAUCUAUAAUUUACUUUUGUAUUUUUACUUUGUCAUUUAAAUGUAUACUUAUGAAUCUCGUUAUCUGAAUCUGUUCUACAUCUUCUGUUUGUAUUGAUUAAAAUACAUGUACUAUUUUGUAAGGCUCCAUUGUUAUUAUUAUGUUGUAAUGACUGUCACAGAAUGCAAAACAAAAGUAGGCUGAUGAAUUAGCUACAUCUUGAAAUAAUUAUUUUAAAUUCUGAAAUUAUUGUGUGCAUUUACUGCAGACUUUUGAAGAAGGAACAAAAUCGGGAGUUCAAAAACUGUAAUUCAAUUUAAGGAAAAGCUACAUACAGAUACAUGUACAUGUAUUCGAUAUCAGAAUAUGACUUUCUAUUAUUGCAUUGGUCAAUUAGUCGCAAUAGUCUUGCAUAAAUUGCUGCAUGUACAGUAUAUGAAGCUAAAUAUAUCCUCUUACAGUUAGUCUUCUCUACUGGUCAUAUCUGAACCACUGAGUUCUCA
rnacentral:lncRNA from 1 species